ACGUUGACUUUGACAGGGGAGAUGAAAAUAAAUUCCUGUCUUUAGAAGUAAAUCCCACUAAACUAGGGCAACCUUCGAACUGCCGCUGAAUCCAUGGGCAGGCAAGAGAGAACCAGGCGAACUGAAAGAUCUUAGUAGCCAGAGGAAAAGAAAGUAAAAGUGAUUCCCGAAUGGUGCACCCUUGAUGGCGAAAUGGGACCUGCCUAAACCGUGAAAACGGGAUUGUGGGAGAGCAAUACAAGCGUCGUGCAGCUAGGUGAAGCAGCCCGAAUGGAGCACCCUUGAUGGCGAAAGUCCAGACCGAUCCUAACAUCAUUUACGAGGACCCGGACGAUGAAGCCUCCUCCUCAAAUAAAGAUGUCUCCGACACUACUCUCCCGGCAAGA
rnacentral:ncRNA from 1 species